rnacentral:rRNA from 1 species
GCAUAUCAAUAAGCGGAGGAAAAGAAACUAACAAGGAUUCCCUCAGUAACUGCGAGUGAAGUGGGAAAAGCUCAAAUUUAAAAUUGGGUAGUUUUUUUUUGACUGCCUGACGUGUAUACUAGAGAAGCAUUAUCCGUGCUGGACCAUGUAUAAGUCUCCUGGAAUGGAGUAUCAUAGAGGGUGAGAAUCCCGUCUAUAACAUUGGACCCCCAGUACUUUGUGAUAUGCUUUCAAUGAGUCGAGUUGUUUGGGAAUGCAGCUCUAAAUGGGUGGUAAAUUCCAUCUAAAGCUAAAUAUUGGCGAGAGACCGAUAGUGAACAAGUACCGUGAGGGAAAGAUGAAAAGAACUUUGAAAAGAGAGUUAAACAGUACGUGAAAUUGUUGAAAGGGAAACGCUUGAAGUCAGUUGCAUUAAUUAAGGAUCAACCUCGCUGCUUUUGCUUGGUGCAUUUCUUGGUUGAUGGGUCAGCAUCAAUUUUAAUCAGUGGAAAAAGAUGGAAGGGAAUGUGACAUCUUUUGAUGUGUUUAUAGCCCUCUAUUGUAUACAUUGAUUAGGAUUGAGGAAUUCAGCAUGCCGCAAGGCCGGGUUUUAACCACGUUCAUGCUUAGGAUGCUGGCAUAAUGGCUUUAAUCGACCCGUCUUGAAACACGGACCA